UCAGCCUGAUGAAAUUUUAUU
rnacentral:piRNA from 1 species